rnacentral:rRNA from 1 species
GUGAUGGCCUACCAAGGCGACGACGGGUAGCCGGCCUGAGAGGGUGAUCGGCCACAUUGGGACUGAGAUACGGCCCAGACUCCUACGGGAGGCAGCAGUGGGGAAUAUUGCACAAUGGGCGGAAGCCUGAUGCAGCGACGCCGCGUGAGGGAUGACGGCCUUCGGGUUGUAAACCUCUUUCAGCAGGGACGAAGCGUAAGUGACGGUACCUGCAGAAGAAGCACCGGCUAACUACGUGCCAGCAGCCGCGGUAAUACGUAGGGUGCGAGCGUUGUCCGGAAUUACUGGGCGUAAAGAGCUCGUAGGCGGUUUGUCACGUCGUCUGUGAAAUCCUAGGGCUUAACCCUGGACGUGCAGGCGAUACGGGCUGACUUGAGUACUACAGGGGAGACUGGAAUUUCUGGUGUAGCGGUGGAAUGCACAGAUAUCAGGAAGAACACCGAUGGCGAAGGCAGGUCUCUGGGUAGUAACUGACGCUGAGGAGCGAAAGCAUGGGUAGCGAACAGGAUUAGAUACCCUGGUAGUCCAUGCCGUAAACGGUGGGCGCUAGGU